AACCAUUACGCCAGCAUCCUAGCCGAAGCGCGGACCUCAGUCCCGGCUGGCCGUAUUACACCCUGGGCUAUAACACCUCCACCGAAGUGGAGGCCACAUUCCCAGAGCCUUUAUCCGGCCGCCGAAACUGAUGCUGGCCUGUCCAAACUGAGUAAACCGGUCAGAAGACCGGCCGAACAGUUUAAACAAGUCUGAUUGCAAGCGCUUCCCUUUCAACAAUUUCACGUGCUUUUUAACUCUCUUUCCAAAGUGCUUUUCAUCUUUCGAUCACUCUACUUGUGCGCUAUCGGUCUCUCGCCAAUAUUUAGCUUUAGAAGAAAUUUACCUCCCAUUUAGAGCUGCAUUCCCAAACAACUCGACUCGUCGAAGGAGAUUUACAUAGGGUGCCAUUUCCUGUCACAUACGGGAUUCUCACCCUCUAUGACGUCCUGUUCCAAGGAACUUAGACAGGCGGCUUCCCCAAAUCAUCCUCUACAAAUUACAAUGCGAACCCGAAGGCUAGCUUUCAAAUUUGAGCUGUUGCCGCUUCACUCGCCGUUACUAGGG
rnacentral:rRNA from 1 species